rnacentral:rRNA from 1 species
AUGGCGACGCGCGUCGACUGGCGGCGCAAACACGCGCUGGUCGUGAGCACUCUCACAUCCAGCAUUACCUACAUGACGGGGCUGAGCCUGCCGGGCAGCCUCUUGUCCGGCCAAUGCAAUGGAGAUACUAAUCGGGCUCUCAAGAAAUCUCCAACACAUCUGCUCUUGUUCGGGACUCUUGCGAUGAGUGCCACUUAUCAAGAUCAACUGGCCCCACCGGGCGGCUUUUGGCAAGGCGAAGCGACCGGUGCCCAUUACCGCUCCCACGCCUUUCUUCUCCACGUGAGAAUCCCGGUGUUCUUGUGCUGCAACGCCUCCUUCUUUCUCAUGUCGCUGGCUGUCGUCCUGAUCAUUCUCCUGAUGGAUGUAUUCGGCGCACUAGGAAUCAAGUACUACCGCGUCUUGUUGGUAGCCAUGAUCCUGGACCAGUUUAUCCUGAUCGUGAUCGGAGCCUAUAUCGCCGCGUUCAGAGAGAAGAUGGAGCUCUGUGUGCCCCGUAGGCUGAAGAUGUUGUUUGCUGGUCCGUCAACCAAUGGACACGCAGAGGGGGCGGUAGGCAUGUCACUGAAGCUGGAGAAGAGGCGCAAGCUUCUGCUGCUCCUUGCAAUUCUCGCAGGAAUUCGCGCGUACCAUGCCGGUGCGGGCUUCCCACCCGAUGACCCAUUCAACUACUACGGGUGCCUGGUGUUCUCGUACUGCAAAGCCACCGUCUUUCUCGCGUCCCUAUCCAUCAUCGUGAUGCCGGUGAACAGGAAGGCCCCGUCAGCGAGAGGACUGCGAUGGCACGCGCUGCGGUUGUCUGUGAUCCUUGUCGUGACCGGCCUCGCUGGCGUCUUCGCCGCCGGGCGCUACAGGAUCAAUGUCCUCGUUCUGCUCUUGGCAGUUUUACUCUGCAUCGCGUUCGAAGUUACACCGUCCAUCUUCGGAACGGCGGGAGGCCUGGUGCAGACACUGGCACCGAGCCUCGGAGCGGCGGAAGAGGAGGAUGGCUCCGAGGACGAGUUGGAGUUCAGCAUAGGGGGUGGGACGAAGGAGGAACCCUUCGGAAUGGAGAUCUCGUCUCCGAUCCUCGGGGGCGCGCUCACUCUGAUCCUCGCCGUCCCUAUGGUGUCCAUCCUCGCCGCUCCAGUGAAGUUGCUCGUGGCAAUAAUGAUCGCCUCAAUCGGGGUGCCCCUCUGGCGGAGGUCCUUCACCCCGCUGUCCAGAGCUCUCCAACGCCGGUGCACUGUGAGCCUCCAAGGUACCACCUACCACGCCCGCGCCGGCAUCGACUGGUUCCGUCUCCGGCGCCUCCUCGACUCCCCGGGAACAACUGCUGUCCGCGCUAUGCCAUGGACUGUGCAAGGUGAUACACGCGCUGUGUUCGGGAACAUGGAUGUGGAUCCUGAUCUUGGUUGCAUCGGUUCCCUAGCUGAGGCACAACCUCAAGCUGAAGUUCAAGAUCUCCAAGAUAACAGCCGUACUAUGCCUAGGCGUGCAGGUUGUCUGUGCACCGCCCACGACAGGCACGGUCACGGCUACUAG